UUGGCUGUGAUUAGAGGUAGUUAAGGAUAGCUAGUUCGCUUGGGGUGCGAAAGGUCGUGAGUUCAAAUCUCGCCAUCCCGA
rnacentral:tRNA from 1 species